CCUUCAAGCUAGUAGUGCUUGCUCUUGCCAUUUUUUUCUGCUGAACACGGUGAAUGUUGAGGAUCUGCCACUUUUCUCAAAUUGAAUGAGAUGCAUGUUCAGAGAGGAUUUGCCGGAUUAUAGCAGAGUUUGAUUUUGGAAUUCUCAAGUGAAUUAGAUUUCCUUAGUUUCAUUGAUAUAUUCUAGCGCUCGUGAAGAUUUUUCCCUUCU